CCGAGUUUACAACUCCCAAACCCAAUGUGAACAUACCUCAAGUUGCUUUCGGCGGGAACGCCCCGGCGCGCCCCUCCGAACCCUCCCGCCCGCGGGGGGGAUCGGGGAGCCUAGCCCGGACCCAGGCGCCCGCCGGAGGUACCCAAAACUCUUGUCUUCAGUAUAUUCUUCUGAAUGGCAAACGCAAAAAUAAAUCA
rnacentral:misc_RNA from 1 species